rnacentral:rRNA from 1 species
UACAAUGCGAAGCGAAGCAGUGAUGUGAAGCAAAUCGCACCAAAGCCAGUCCCAGUUCGGAUAAGAGGCUGAAACUCGCCUCUUUGAAGUCGGAAUCGCUAGUAAUCGCAGAUCAGCAUGUUGCGGUGAAUACGUUCCCGGGUCUUGUACACACCGCCCGUCAAGCCAUGGAAGCCGGGGGUGCCUGAAGUGUGCAGCCGCAAGGAGCGCCUUAAGGUAAAACCGGUGACUGGGGCUAAGUCGUAACAAGGUAAC